rnacentral:rRNA from 1 species
UCAGGCCUAACACAUGCAAGUCGAGCGGGGUUUUCGGACCUAGCGGCGGACGGGUGAGUAAUGCGUAGGAAGCUACCCGACAGAGGGGGAUACCAGUUGGAAACGACUGUUAAUACCGCAUAAUGUCUACGGACCAAAGUGUGGGACCUUCGGGCCACAUGCUGUCGGAUGCGCCUACGUGGGAUUAGCUAGUUGGUGAGGUAAUGGCUCACCAAGGCGACGAUCCCUAGCUGGUUUGAGAGGAUGAUCAGCCACACUGGAACUGAGACACGGUCCAGACUCCUACGGGAGGCAGCAGUGGGGAAUAUUGGACAAUGGGCGCAAGCCUGAUCCAAUAAGUGCCGCGUGUGUGAAGAAGGCCUUCGGG